rnacentral:lncRNA from 1 species
GACGGAAGACUACUGAGAGAGAAGAAGAAUAGUUAGAAACUCAGGAUAAAUGAUGAAUAAAAUGAGUGCCUGAUCUCAAGAAGUCUAGCAGUCUAUGAGAGAUGGGCAUGAAAAUCUUCUAUUUUUAUAGAUGAGAAAACUGAGGCUUGGGGAAGUUCCACCAUAACCAUGAGAUUUGAGAAGUGCCAUGAGUGAAUAAAGAAGACCAUGCCAGAGAGCCUGUUCAAAGAAAGAAAAAGGAAUUUCAACUUCCUAGACCAGAGUAAAUGAUGUGAGGAGAGAAGAUGACAUGGAACCUGCAGCCCUAGUGAAGGUCAAGAAUUUCCCCAGAGAAGAGACAGUGGAGCAUCAUUAAGCUGUAUUAAUGAGAG